GACGAACGCUGGCGGCGUGCCUAAUACAUGCAAGUUGAGCGAUGAAGAUUGGUGCUUGCACCAAUUUGAAGAGCAGCGAACGGGUGAGUAACGCGUGGGGAAUCUGCCUUUGAGCGGGGGACAACAUUUGGAAACGAAUGCUAAUACCGCAUAACAACUUUAAACAUAAGUUUUAAGUUUGAAAGAUGCAAUUGCAUCACUCAAAGAUGAUCCCGCGUUGUAUUAGCUAGUUGGUGAGGUAAAGGCUCACCAAGGCGAUGAUACAUAGCCGACCUGAGAGGGUGAUCGGCCACAUUGGGACUGAGACACGGCCCAAACUCCUACGGGAGGCAGCAGUAGGGAAUCUUCGGCAAUGGACGAAAGUCUGACCGAGCAACGCCGCGUGAGUGAAGAAGGAUUUCGGAUCGUAAAACUCUGUUGGUAGAGAAGAACGUUGGUGAGAGUGGAAAGCUCAUCAAGUGACGGUAACUACCCAGAAAGGGACGGCUAACUACGUG
rnacentral:rRNA from 1 species